CUUGUAUUAGAAUUAAGCAAUAAGGCCAGCGGGGGUGUGGUUGUGGCCAAUAUACCACAGCUAAGGGCUGUUCUUAACGCACGACGCAACGCAGAGUGCCUGGAUACAGCCCUUAGCCGUGGGUAUAUUGGCCAUAUACCACAAACCCCCAGGGCCUUUUGCUAUAAAGUUAUAAAACUGGUUACCACAUAAUUAGAGCAGUAAAAUCAUGUUUUGUCAUCCUGUGGUUAAACUGUCUGAUAUACAACGGCUGUUAGCCAAAUCAGCAUUCGGCUCGAACCCACCCAGUUAUUGAUACCCAUACAAUGGAGAAGACAUCAAAACAAGUGCAAAUCAUACAAUAUUGCAUUCCAAGGGAAGAGAGCGUAGUGAGAAAAACAUAGCGAAAACAAAGGACUAAUACAUAAGCAAAUUACAAACAGACGACGCAAAAAUAGAAAAACAGUGGUCUCUCCAGCAACGCCAAAGGGCGGGUCUCUCUCCAGCAACGCCAAAAGGGCGGUCUCCCAGCAACGCCAAAAGGGCGGUCUCUCCAGCAACGCCAAAAGGGCGGUCUCUCUAGCAACGCCAAAAGGGCGGUCUCUCUAGCAACGCCAAAAGGGCGGUCUCUCUAGCAACGCCAAAAGGGCGGUCUCUCUAGCAACGCCAAAAGGGCGGUCUCUUAGCAACGCCAAAAGGGCGGUCUCUCUAGCAACGCAAAAGGG
rnacentral:lncRNA from 1 species